rnacentral:lncRNA from 1 species
UUUCUGUCCUUCCUUCCUUCCUUCCUUCCUUCCUUCCUUCCUUCCUUCCUUCCUUCCUUCCUUCCUUCCUUCCUUUCUUUCUUUCUUUCUUUCUUUCUUUCUUCCUUCCUUCCUUCCUUUCUCUCUCUCUUUCUUUCUUUCUUUCUUUCUUUCUUUCUGUCUUUCUUUUUUUCGUUCGUGUUUUCUUUCUUUCUCUCUCUCUCUCUUUCUUUGUUUCUUUGUUUCUUUCUUUUGUCUUUCUUUCUUUCUUUCUUUCUUUCUUUCUUUCUUUCCUUCCUUCCUUCCUUCCUUCCUUCCUUCCUUCCUUCCUUCCUUCCUUCCUUCCUUUAUCUCUCUUUCUCUCUUUCUCUCUCUUUCUUCCUUUCUCUCUCUCUCUCUCUCUCUCUCUUUCUUUUUUCUUUUUCUCUUCAGAAGGAUAAUUUCUCAGUGGGUUGUUAAGAGUGAGGACUUGUAUAAAGGCAUCCCCUACAGAAACA